GCCGUAGCGAAAGCGAGUUUUAACUGAGCGUUCAGUUACUUGACGUAGACCCGAAACCGGGCGACCUACCCAUGAGCAGGAUGCAGCGAAAGUAAAAUUUCGUGGAGGUCCGAACCCACGAGCGUUGCAAAGCUCGGGGAUUACUUGUGUUUAGCGGUGAAAUUCCAAUCGAGUCCGGAGAUAGCUGGUUCUCCCCGGAAUAGCCUUAGUGCCAGCCUCAAGGU
rnacentral:rRNA from 1 species